rnacentral:rRNA from 1 species
CCCUUAGAUGUCCUGGGCCGCACGCGCGCUACACUGAGUGUCUGAGAUAUGAGGCAUGCCUGGUCCGGCAAGGUCUAGGUAAUCACGAAAAGGCACAUCAUGCUUGGGAUUGAUUAUUGCAAAUUUUAAUCAUGAACGAGGAAUUCCUAGUAAGUGCAAGUCAACAGCUUGCGUUGAUUACGUCCCUGCCCUUUGUACACACCGCCCGUCGCACCUACCGAUUGGAUGGUCCGGUGAAGCCUCGGGAUUGUGGUUCUUGCCGCUUUAUUGUGGCGUGACCGCGAGAACUUGUCUAAACCUUAUCAUCUAGAGGAAGGUGAAGUCGUAACA